GCGCACUUCAGGGUCGUGUUGAGGAGCGCUCAGGUGAGCGAAUUGGCCAAGGAAGCUUCAGGUGCGCGUCGGGGCGGCUUCAGGUCGCUUCGGGGUAAGCUUCAGGGUCGUGUUGAGGAGCGCUCAGGUGAGCGAAUUGGCCAAGGAAGCUUCAGGUGCGCGUCGCGGCGCGCUUCAGGUGCGCGUCGGGGCGCCCUUCAGGUCGCUUCGGGGUAAGCUUCAGGGUCGUGUCGAGGCGCGCUCAGGUGAGCGAAUUGGCUUCAGGUGCGCGUCGAGCCUCGCUCCAGUGCGCGUCGAGGCGCGCUUCAGGUGCGCGUCGGGGCGCGCUUCGGGGUCGUGUCAAGGCGCGCUUCGGGGUCGUGUCAAGGCGCGCUUCAGAGCGAGGCGGCUACCCCGAAAGGGAUACGCGUCAGGGUUCGAGAAUGGAUGAGGCACGCUUCCGGUGCCCGCUUUUCAGACCUGGAGGGUGGACGCGUCAGUCUGAAUGUGGUUGAACAAAAAAUGAAAUGGAUGCAAAGCAAAUUUUACAUUUGUUUUUUUAUAAGAACUAUACAUUUUAUGUAAAGGUUUUAUAUUUUAUGUAAAAUAUAGAAAGUAUAUCCACUUGUCACCUUA